rnacentral:rRNA from 1 species
AGUGAACGCUGGCGGUAGGCCUAACACAUGCAAGUCGAACGGCAGCACGGUAAUAGCUUGUUCAUACGGCUGGCGAGUGGCGGACAGGUCCUGGAAACCUCCGAAUCUACUUUUUAGAAGGGCAUAACGUAGGCAAACUUACGCUAAUACCGCUUACGAACUACGGGUGGAAGCAUCGGAUCUCACGAUCUUACAUGAUUGUAUGCGGGAAUGUCGGAUUGGCUAGUUGGCGGGCUAAAGGCCCACCAAGGCGACGAUCCGUAGCUGGUCUGAGAGGAUGAUCAGUCACACUGGAACUGAGACACGGUCCAGACUCCUACGGGAGGCAGCAGUGGGGAAUAUUGGACAAUGGGCGCAAGCCUGAUCCAGCCAUGCCGCGUGGGUGAAGAAGGCCUUCGGGUUGUAAAGCCCUUUUGUUUGGAAAGAAAAGCAGCAGGUUAAUACCCCGCUGUUCUGACGUUACCCAAAGAAUAAGCACCGGCUAACUUCGUG